UACGUAGGGGGCGAGCGUUGUCCGGAGUUACUGGGCGGAAAGCGCACGCAGGCGGUCUAUUAAGUUUGGAGUGACAGUUGGUGGCUUAACUGCCAAAGUGCUUCGAAAACUGACAGACUUGAGGGCUUCAGAGGGACACGGAAUUCCGGGUGGAGUGGUGAAAUGCGUAGAGAUCCGGAGGAACACCAAAGGCGAACAAUGGCGAAAGCAGGCAACUGGGGCUGUACCGACGCUGAGACACGAAAGCCAGGGGAGCGAACGGG
rnacentral:rRNA from 1 species